ensembl:snRNA U1 U1 spliceosomal RNA
AUACUUACCUGGCAGGGGAGAUACCAUGAUCACAAAGCCUUUGCCAGGACGAGGCUUAUCCAUUGCACUCCGGAUGUGCUGACCCCUGCGAUUUCCUCAAAUGUGGGAAACUUGACUGCAUAAUUUGUGGUAGUGGGGGACUGGUUGGAGCUUUCCCCUG